AUUUGAUAAUGUGGACAUUGUAUCUGCAACUCGCCAAAUCUUUGCCAAGCUUCGUAGAACUCCUCCGUAUGCUUCUGUCUAAAAGUUUGGAUCUUGUUUCUCAACU
rnacentral:snoRNA from 1 species